rnacentral:rRNA from 1 species
UACGUAGGUGGCAAGCGUUGUCCGGAUUUACUGGGCGUAAAGGAUGCGUAGGCGGACAUUUAAGUCAGAUGUGAAAUACCCGAGCUUAACUUGGGUGCUGCAUUUGAAACUGGGUGUCUAGAGUGCAGGAGAGGUAAGUGGAAUUCCUAGUGUAGCGGUGAAAUGCGUAGAGAUUAGGAAGAACACCAGUAGGCGAAGGCGACUUACUGGACUGUAACUGACGCUGAGGCAUGAAAGCGUGGGGAGCAAACAGG